GAUUACAACAAGAAGAGAUUCCUA
rnacentral:siRNA from 1 species